AGAUAUUAAAUAUUUCUGUGUGUGUCUCUUGGCCAUUCUUUCUUCCUCUACAGAGAAAUCUCUCUUUAAGUUUUAGCCUACUUAUUAAUGGGGUGGUUGUUU